rnacentral:rRNA from 1 species
UACGUAGGGUGCAAGCGUUAAUCGGAAUUACUGGGCGUAAAGCGUGCGCAGGCGGUUUUUUAAGUCAGAUGUGAAAUCCCCGGGCUUAACCUGGGAACUGCGUUUGAAACUACAAGGCUAGAGUGUGACAGAGGGGGGUGGAAUUCCACGUGUAGCAGUGAGAUGCGUAGAGAUGUGGAGGAACACCGAUGGCGAAGGCAGCCCCCUGGGUUAACACUGACGCUCAGGCACGAAGGCGUGGGGAGCAAACAGG